UACGAAGGGGGCUAGCGUUGCUCGGAAUCACUGGGCGUAAAGGGUGCGUAGGCGGGUCUUUAAGUCAGGGGUGAAAUCCUGGAGCUCAACUCCAGAACUGCCUUUGAUACUGAAGAUCUUGAGUUCGGGAGAGGUGAGUGGAACUGCGAGUGUAGAGGUGAAAUUCGUAGAUAUUCGCAAGAACACCAGUGGCGAAGGCGGCUCACUGGCCCGAAACUGACGCUGAGGCACGAAAGCGUGGGGAGCAAACAGGG
rnacentral:rRNA from 1 species